AAUUCCGCAUGGCUGGGGAGGCCUCCCAACCAUGUAGAAGGUAAGGAGGAGCAAAGUCACAUCUUACAUGGCAGCAAGCAAGAGAGCGUGUGCAGGAGAACUGCCCUGUAUAACAUCAUCAGAUCUCAUAAGACUUAUUCCCUGUCUCGAGAACAGCACGAGAAAGACCCAUCCACAUGAUUUAAUUACCUCCCACCGGGUUCCUCCCACGACACAUGGGAAUUAUGAGAGCUACAACUCAAGAUGAGAUUUGGGCAGGGACACACCCAAACCAUAUCAGGGAGUUACAAUUUAAAAGGCAGAAGGCAGUCAUAUUCUACCAUAGCUCACAGAAAAACAAUUACUUCAUAAAAUUCCAUUAUAUUUAAUACCAAAAAAGAAAAUAUAUUCAGUGAGUGCCUGUUAUGAUGCAAAUACCAAAUUAAGAACUUUAUAUACUUACCUCACUUAAUCUUCACAGUAGAUAUGCGGGGAGGAUUUGAUUGUCUCCAUCUUAUAGGUGAGAAAACUGAGGCUCGGAGUGAUCAGAAAACUUACCCAGGAGCACAUGGCUAGAAUGUGGCAGAGGUGGGAAAUUGAAUCGUUUCCAUUUUAUACCGUCGAUAAAAAUUACUGAGGCUCAAGUCUGUAAUAUAAUGUUAAUCUGUACAACUCUGUAGCAAUACUAAGCGUAAGGCUCAGGGAGACUGUAACUUGGUCCAAAUCAAACUGCGAGUAAAUUGCAGAGCUGGGAUUGGAGCCAAGGUCAUUUUAAUUCCAAAACGUACACUCUUUCCAACACAUUGCAUUCCGCUGCCUACAAAGUCCUUCCUAUUAUACUAAACAGCCUCUCUAGGGAAACAAACAACUAUUUAUCUGCCCAAGGUGCCGAAUCAUAGUUCUGUCUUUAAGAUAGACAGCAUAGGAGAUGUAUCUUGAAGAUCUUUAUCUGUCCAAAGAUUGACAGGCAAGUCUCUGAGAUAAAAUUUAAAAGGUGGCUUCCAUUUAGACAUCUCACCUGCCCUGAGGACAUCUCAUCACAUCCGUUAUUCUGUGCUGGGUAAGCUCUCCAGCACAGAAAAAUCUAUUAGGAUGGGAUUCUAAUUUAAAGCAAUAGCAUAUGCCAUGGUAUUACCCACAUUGUUCUGGCUUGGAAUGUUAAAGCUUGUUGUUUAACUCAUACUUUAUACUCAACCCAUCCUCAUUCCCUUGGACUGUGUGUGCACGCAUUUAUCUUACCCACUAGAUUGAAAGCUUCCUUAAGACAAGAAUUGUCUCCAACAUUCCUCUGUCCUGAUGUUGCGUUCUCUAGAAGGACAGAAAACAGGAAGUUGCAGUAGCAGAGAUAGAAAUGCCCAUCAGACUUUCAAGACACAUUUCACCCAGAGCUGAUCAAUGGAUAGCUAACGCCAAUAUAUCAGACCCUGCAGAGAGAACCUGGUGUGAUGGCAGAUUCUUUGCUAUGUGUCUGUGUCCCCACACCCAUUACCCUGAGUCAGACAUUGCUAGCUCAUUCACCAUCCCACACCCCUUCUUCCUCACUAUGAACCUCCAAGUUAGUCCAAGUAUGAGUGGUUUCAGGAAGACGAAGCGUCAGGGAGAUGUGACGCUUGGGGACUGUCCCUCUCUCUCCACUUCUCUCUGGCAGCUGGUCACAGAACUGCUCUAUGUCCCUGUCCUCCAGAAAUUCACCAUGUGUCACACCAUUUCACUGUCCCACUCCACUCCCACUAUGCAGCGAGUCAUCAAGGACCUCUGGGUAGGACCCUGGCAGUUUAAAAUCUCCAAGUUUUACCUCACUCCUGUGUCUAGUGCAGACAAAACCACUAAACCUGUAAAGGUGGUAGAAGAACUCUAACAUAUAAUUAACUAAAGGGUCUAUUCCAUGCAGCAAACAUUAGAAUCCUCCCCCCUGAAAGUACUUAGUUUAUUUAAUGAUCUAUGCCCUAUUUGUGAUUAUGACAUACUGAUGACAGGUGUAUAACCAUGUACAUUUUAUUAAAAACCACUGUGUGUAUUUUUCUCUGCUGAUUUGCAAAAAGCCCUGUGAAUUAGGUAAAGGAGGUAUUAUUAUAAAGUUGAUUUAGAGUUGAGGAAUCUGAGGUUUGCACUUGCCUCUAAGUGCUCUUACACAAUUGCCAUAUGUGCUCUAAUUUCUCAUUGACACCAGUGUGUUAGUCCACUCUUGGUUCCUUCAAGGGUAGGUGUGCAUUCACCAGGUGGGACUGUGGGGCAGACCAGACAAGGACCUAGAGAAGGGCCUUUUGUACCAGGAGUUCACAUGUCUGUGCUGGGUGCAAGGAAAUGGUUGGGAGUUCUCAAGUUAGCCUCACUUGUAAGACAGCAACGCCUUCUGAACACUUCCCUCUUGAGAAUUCACUAAGAAAGGCUUUGAUUGUAUUUGUCAGCUUCAUCAGGCCCAGGAGAUGAGAACAUGCUCUUGUUCCUGAAACCAUAGCAUCCUGUCCUGCAUGUAAUAAUUUGCAAUAUGGUGCUUCCGUCACUUGGAAGGAGUCAUUUUUCCGCAGCAUCAGUGCUUCCCCUGGGAAUUCCUUUCCUUCAGGUAUUAACUUGCCUUGGUCCUUGCCUUUAUUCUUAUUCCUCUUGUUUCUCUGACUUUACAUUUCAUGCACCUGCCAUUCUCAGCAACUCAAAUGGUUGAUUUUUCUUUCUGUUUUUCAAUAUCAAUAUUUUUACUUUCAGUGGGGUUUUUAAAAUUGUUUUUAGAGUCCAGGAAAGGAGAAUAAAAUAGAAAGAUAAAAACAAAAGAUAAAAUAAUAUCCCUUCACUGUUCCGUUUUAAACGUGACAUCAGGAGCGUUGACAGCAGCCUGUGUAAUGGGAAUUGUCCCUGGGUCCCAAAACUGUGCCUGGAGAACUUUUACACAACAACUCCACAUUUAGUUUGGAAAGCAGCAAGGCUAAAAUACAUGGCAGAUUUUUGGAGUGGGGAAUGAAAAGAAGUAUGCCAUUAUUUUUUUCUAGUUCCUGCUUUCUCUUUCUGAGUGACUCUUUCUGUGGCAGCUCAGCAGAAUCUAAACACCCACAUUCUGUCCUUGCGUCACACCCCUGGCCAGUUGUCCAUUAGUGGUGGGAGUUUCAUUCAAAACACACGCCUUUCAUGAGAAAGAAGUGAGGACCCAGUGCAUAGUAACUACAGUUACGCAUCGCUUAACGAUGGGGAUACAUUCCAAGAGAUGCACUGUUAGACAAUUUCAUCAUUGUGCAAACACCAUAGACUGCACUUACACACACCUUAGAAGGUACAGCCUACCACACACCUAGGCUGUAGUGUAGAGCCUCCUGCUGCUAGGUUACACACUAUACAGCACUCCUAGGUUACACACCUGUACAGCAGUGACUGUAUUGAACACUAGGCAACUGUAACACAAUGGUAAGCAUUUGUGUAUCUAAACAUAGGAAAGGUAAAAACACAGCAUAAAAUAUUCCGGGGCCACUGUUGAUACUCUGUCUGUCGUUCACUGGGCCAUCAUUAUGUGAUGCAUGACCGUAUUUGAGUGUCUGUUUCUUUACACAACUUGUUUAAUUAAGUUCCUGCAAAUAGUUCUGUCCGAUAGAGGAUAUUAUCUUUGAUCAUCUACAUUUUAAAGAAAAAAAAUGAGGGUUCAAAGAAAUUAGGUUAUUUCUGUGGGGUCACAUAAGUGGUAAAUGUCCCAGCCACAGUCCAACCAUGCCGACUUGUUUUCAGAUUCUGUGCACUUUCCUUUGCAUGACCACUCCUCUGCUUGCAUUACUGGUUUGGGAUAAGGUUAAAUGGGGCAUCUGAUCUUUUAUUCCCAGAAGUCUAGGGUCUCUUCCCCAGCUCUCUUUAUGUAUUUCUCCUGGACAUUGCUGAUCUCGGGAUGCCUCACUGGCACCCCACUGGUAGUGGCGUGAGUAUCCUCAUGCCACUUUCUGCUGCUGGGAUCUCCUAGGGGUAUAUCCACCUGCGAGCCUGCACGCUCUUCCUGGGGACUCCACCAUCAGUUGCCCUUGGCUGAAAUGACCCUCUAAUACUCUGCAUAUGUCAUUCCCACUCCACAGUCGGGAUAUCCUGGAAGUACAUCAAAGAACUUUCCAAAAAGAACUGGAUAGGAAGCCCCAGAAGAGGGCUCAAGGUAUUCAUAGAAUUGGCGAACAAGGCCGUAGGUGCUGUGGAAGGGCGUCGGGCCAUUGAUGCAGGCGUGAAUCCAUCUGCCAGCUCACUGCUGUGUGAUUUUAGGUGCAAUGACAACUCACCCAGCCUCAGCACUUUCCUCUGCAGAAUGGAUCUAACAUCUGAUUUCCCAUCCCAUGGCGAGAGUUAAAAGAAUGCCUGUUAGGUGGUGUUAGGCCCCAGUCUCUCCAUUUUCCUCAUUCUUCUUUUUCCCAAUACCACAAACACUUCAUGCUCUGCAAAUUAUAUGAAAAUGACAGCUAAUAUUUACUGAGUGCCUCCUACACCCAGGAAUGUUUCUAAGCAUUCUAAAUGCAUUCGCUCAUUUAAUCUGGAGAACAGAUUUUUGAAGGGAGUCUCCCAUUACUUACUAGAUUUUAUGGAAAAUGGAGGCAUUGUUUCCACCACACACAAAAACGACAAAUACGUGAGAUAAUGCGUAUAUGUUCAUGAGCUUGAUUUAGGGAAGCCACAAUAUAUACUCUAUCAAAACAUCAUGCUGUGCAUCAAAAGCGUAUGUAAUUUUUGUCAACUAAAAGUAAUUAUUUUUUCAAAAAGAGAAAAUUCAGGCAAAGAGUAGUAAAGUCACUUUGCUUAAUGUCAGGUAGCUGGAGACACCUACAGCAAGGCAGGAUAGGAGCAAUGGUGCCCAGAUGAGAUCAAGGACAUCCGGACCCUCCAAGGCAGGCAGAGGCUGAGAGCAGUGAGUUAACCGAAUGACUGGGUUGCCCGGCACAGCCCUUGCUCCUGCCUGCUGCAUUCCACUAGAGCCACCGCUCAGCCAGAAGCACACUCUGAGGGUGCCGCUCACAGAAGAGGGCCACUGAAGUAGAGGAGAGCAGAAUAAUUUAUUUCUUCUCUCCCCGCCUCUCCUCCCCUCUCUCUCCUUCUCCACCCUCUCUUCCUUCGACCAAGUGUUAUUGUGCAUCUAUUAUGUGUUGUUCCUUUAUACACCGAGGAUAUGACAAUGAACAAAAAUGGUGAGAGCUCACCCAUCCCAGAGUCAUCUGGGAGACAGGACUAGGGUGAAAGUGCUUCCAAAGGUAGGGAUGGAUGCAGACCACGUGCCAGCCUCGCCACUCUUUCCUCUGAUGCCAGCUGAGCGGAGGUGAAGAGAGCAUGAUUCUGUUUAACAUGGAGCCACCGAAAGCGUUUCAAAUUAGAACACAAGACUGGAAAGAUAGGGCAGGGACAGAUGUUCCAGUCUCUAAAGGAAGAGAGAGCUACAAGACCGGUCAAUCAGAUAAUAGCUCAAACAGUGGACACUUUAGGAAUGGAGAGGAAGUUUCCUUAAUCGAAGAUCCAAGAAGUGGCCAUAUUUGAAUCUGACCAAGUCUCAGGCCUGGGUCCCACACCCAAAAGCUUUCUGUGCAUUUGGCAGUGGUUCUAAUCUGAAACUGUAUCAGGGGAUAGAGCUUGAGCACUUGACUUGAUAUCCAAAAGCAAGUAAGAAGAUAGUUUCCGAACACUUGUUUUGUUAUGCCAAGGAAGUUAGAUGGACAAAAGAACUGACCUUAUAAUCCAAAUGGAGCUAGUAGCCAGGUCACCUGAAGCUGUGCUUCGGAGAUGCCAGAACAAAAAAUUAGUGUUCCAGGAAGUCCUCUGCUUCUGUCCUCCACCUUUUUUGUUUCUCUUCUUCUUAGUCUGUUUCAGAAAAAAACCAUCUAUGUACUAAGGCAUCAAUGAAGAAAGUAAGUCUUUUUACUCUUAAAGCAGGUGAGCUCAGGGAAGCAGAGUACGUGGAUUCCACAUGUGGUCAUGGCAACUGAAAUCUGGCUGUAGCCAUCAGCUCAGGCUGAAAUUUCAGUCAUUCUUGACUCCUGAUGUGCUUCUGAUUUAAUUUAAUUUUUAGUUUCAUUUAAUUUUUAGUUUUCUUCUGCCCGGGCCUUGAGGUUUCAAAUGGAUUAUCCAGAUUUCAAAUCCAAAGCCCGUCAGGCCCUGCUGUUCCACUGCAGUUUUUUUCUUGAAAAAAAAAAACUUAGAUCUUAGAUCUCCACUCCCACUCCCAUACCCUACAUUCAGUCCAGAUGCAAAUCCCAGAGCUCCACCUUCAACACCUUUGCAGACUGCACGUCCUUGUCAGUACCUGUACUGUUGGCACUCUGGUCCAAGCUACCCUGCCUGGAUUUCUGCGAUAGCCCCCUGGUCCCAGCCUCAGACCCUCCCUAGUCAGGUCUCAACACAGUGGCCAGUUUCCAAAUGUACACCAUGUCAUCUCUUACAUUUCUGCCUCAUUUUGAAUAAGAGCCAGAACUUUGAGCAUGGCCUCCAGAGCCCUACUGGAUCUGCCUCCCCCGGCUUCUCACCUCCUUCCACUCACUGGCCCCAGUGCACAGCUACCACCUUCUUCAAAUUUGCCCAGCAUGUUUCUGGACCUUUGCAAUUGCUCUGUCCUCUUCCUGAAACUCUGUCACCUGAGAGCCACAGGACUCACUACUAUAUUUUGGGGGUCGUUGCUGAUCCACCUGUUAUAUAAAAUCACAUCCCUAGUCCCACAACUCCCAUUCCCUCUUUCUUGCUUUAGUACCCCUGCCCAUAUAUUAUUUAUUCAGAUUAAUUUAUCUAUUUGCCUCUUCUCUUUCUUUUCAUUUAAAUGGAAACUAUACAUAUAGGGAUGUUGUCUGUUAUGUUCACUACUGUAUUCCCAAAUCUGAGACCAGUGGCUAGACAUAGAAGGUGCUUAGUAAAUAUCUAUUGAAUGAGUAAAUACAAAAAAACGUUCCCAGGGCAUAAAGCAUUGAUUGAUGGCCUCUUUAUCUCAUUGUAUCCCUCAUUUGCCCUUGGUUUUCUCUCAGGCAAGAUAAGAUUUGUUUAAUAAUUAACAUUCUAUUUUUUACCAUAAUUCUAUUUUUUUAAAGUAUAAUUUCAUUUCUACCAUUAUUCUCUCAAUUUUGCAUCAAAGAUUGAGGGAAUUAAUUUGUUCUUACCAAAUAGAUUGAGGCUUUUGUGCUUAGAUGGAAAUACUUGGGAUUUUCAUCACAUUGUGUUUCUACAUCUCAGAUUUCAAGGACAGGCCUGACUUUGAAUGUCAGAUUUUUACAAGAAGAAAUAUACUGUUCUGGGUGGCCUACCAGGGGUGAAAAGCAUUCACUUUGUAACCUCACUGCUGGGGUACAAACCUUAGCUCAGCCAGCUACAAACUGUGCGGCCGUCAGGAAAUACUAAACCUUUCUUUGCUUUAGUCUUUACUUCUGGAAACUAGAGAAGGUGAAUGAUGGGGUUAAUACUAUAAGCCCAUAAAUUUGAAUAGAGAAUUAAAUGGAUUCACACUUGAAAAGUAGUUAGAACUCAUCCUAACUUAUGAAAAUGUUUAUUUAUAAAAACAAAAUGAUACCCUUCGUUUUCCUGUCUCUGGAACCAUGAACAAGCCAUUUCCUGUCACUGCACCCCGAUUCUCCUCCCAAUAAAAUGAAGGGGAAGGUAGGAAAGGUUGAAUAAUUUCUGACUGUGAUUUUAUCCACUCUAACUUUCAAAGUCUGAGGUGAGGCUGUCUCAGAGCCAGGAAGACAGAUUUUGUGCUUCUGAUUUAAUUUAAUUUUUAGUUUCCUUCUGCCCGGGCCUUGAGGUUUCAAAUGGAUUAUCCAGAUUUCAAAUCCAAAACCUGCCAGGUCCUGCUGUUCCACUGCAGUUUUUUUCUUGAAAAGCAGAGCGGAUGCCCAGGAAACAUUCUAAGAAGCCUCUGGGGAGAUCUCUGGGCAGGCAGGGGCAGGCUGGGUGUCCCCCUGGGCUGUGAGGGCUCCUGGCAGUGCUGGGAGUAGCUGGGGGUACUUAGGUCUCCAGAACCAUGGGUGUGAUUGGGAGGGGCCAUGGCGACAGAGUGACCUGUGCCCCAGGAGGCCUUUGCAGAAGUCUUUAUCAGCAGUCCCCAGUGACCCAGCCCAACAAAUGCUCAGGAAGGCAACUGGCAACCGUGACCUCUCCGUGGGGCAAUUAAAGAAUGGAACCCAAAUUUCCAUGCUUAGGAAAACCUCCUACAGAAGCUCAAUCAUCGUAACCUCUGGUGGACCUUCUUGUUCAAAGUGACAAUGCAUUCCUUGCCACGCCCUAAGGUGAUGAAGAGAGACUGUGCCUGUAGCUCACGUGCCCAUCGGCACACCUUCCCAUCUUCCCUCACCCGUGCCCUGCCACCAAUUCUCAAAGAGUUGAAGAUUAUGCUUGUCCAUAAAGCUCAGCUUGUAGAGCCAGUCUUUCCUACCAAGAAAUGUGUUCGUUAGCUCCUGACAUCCCCUAUUCACAGAAAUAAAAAGAUCUUUGCCACUCUGUACUGACUGCUUUGUGUGUGGCCUUCCAAAACUGGAUGUUGUUCAUGGGCUAGGGCCAGCAGGAAAUAUCAAGCUACCCUUGUCUUUGCCCUUGGUGCCAGCGACUUGCCUGCACAAGUUAUGGCAAGGGGACCCCAGGGAGAAGCUCCAGGACGUGUCACUGUUUGUGGCUUAUCAUGCCAGCAAGAGAAGAGAAGGGCUAUGAGCCCAUGCUGAGCCACCUGAAAUUCUCAGCAGCUGACUACCAUCACUUCUUAACUCAACCCCAGAUACAAUCUUAGAAUAAAUCUGAAGGCCAAUAAGCUUUUCCAGUAAUAGGUAGAUUUAAUGGUCUUGACUUUGUAUUUUCUAGAAGUUGACUCCAAGGUGUUCAGCUACGUUGAUCUCCUGGAAGAAACUAAAAAAGAAAAAAGUAAGAUAGAAAGACAAGGAAGGUGAGAAAAAGGAAGAAAUAGGGCAUCUGGCAUGGACUGGAUGCUCAAUAAAUGUUUACUGGAUGAUGAAUGAAUGGUUGGCAUAAGUCAUAACAAGAUGGUUAUCGAUGCCAGAAUGGGACUGACACAGCCUCCUUUGAGCACUGAGGAGACAAGAUAUGUUGCAACAAAAGGAAUAGAGGGCACUGAGAAUUAGACACCUGAGUUCUAAUCUCAGUUCUGCAGCUGUCUAAUAAUAUGUGUGACCUCUGGAGAAAUCACUGAUGGCAAAAGAACUCAGGGUUCUCAUCUGUAAUAUGAUGGAGUCAAAGAAGACAGUGUCCUAAAUCCUGCUAAUUCUAAGAGCUGUUUGUUCAUUCCUGCACUCAACAAACACUCAUUGAGUGUGUAUGUCUUCUAGAC